AUGAACGCUGGCGGCGUGCCUCAUCCCUGCCAGUCGAGCGAACGGACGAGAAGCUUGCUUCUCUGAUGUUGGCGGCGGACGGGUGAGUAACACGUGGAUAACCUACCUAUAAGACUGGGAUAACUUCGGGAAACCGGAGCUAAUACCGGAUAAUAUUUUGAACCGCAUGGUUCAAAAGUGAAAGACGGUCUUGCUGUCACUUAUAGAUGGAUCCGCGCUGCAUUAGCUAGUUGGUAAGGUAACGGCUUACCAAGGCAACGAUGCAUAGCCGACCUGAGAGGGUGAUCGGCCACACUGGAACUGAGACACGGUCCAGACUCCUACGGGAGGCAGCAGUAGGGAAUCUUCCGCAAUGGGCGAAAGCCUGACGGAGCAACGCCGCGUGAGUGAUGAAGGUCUUCGGAUCGUAAAACUCUGUUAUUAGGGAAGAACAUAUGUGUAAGUAACUGUGCACAUCUUGACGGUACCUAAUCAGAAAGCCACGGCUAACUACGUG
rnacentral:rRNA from 1 species